UAUUGGACAAUGGGCGAAAGCCUGAUCCAGCCAUGCCGCGUGUGUGAAGAAGGUCUUCGGAUUGUAAAGCACUUUAAGUUGGGAGGAAGGGCAGUAAAUUAAUACUUUGCUGUUUUGACGUUACCGACAGAAUAAGCACCGGCUAACUCUGUGCCAGCAGCCGCGGUAAUACAGAGGGUGCAAGCGUUAAUCGGAAUUACUGGGCGUAAAGCGCGCGUAGGUGGUUUGUUAAGUUGGAUGUGAAAUCCCCGGGCUCAACCUGGGAACUGCAUUCAAAACUGACUGACUAGAGUAUGGUAGAGGGUGGUGGAAUUUCCUGUGUAGCGGUGAAAUGCGUAGAUAUAGGAAGGAACACCAGUGGCGAAGGCGACCACCUGGACUAAUACUGACACUGAGGUGCGAAA
rnacentral:rRNA from 1 species